GACGAACGCUGGCGGCGUGCCUAAUACAUGCAAGUAGAACGCUGAAGGAGGAGCUUGCUCUUCUGGAUGAGUUGCGAACGGGUGAGUAACGCGUAGGUAACCUGCCUGGUAGCGGGGGAUAACUAUUGGAAACGAUAGCUAAUACCGCAUAACAGUAGAUGUUGCAUGACAUUUGCUUAAAAGGUGCAAUUGCACCACUACCAGAUGGACCUGCGUUGUAUUAGCUAGUUGGUGGGGUAACGGCUCACCAAGGCGACGAUACAUAGCCGACCUGAGAGGGUGAUCGGCCACACUGGGACUGAGACACGGCCCAGACUCCUACGGGAGGCAGCAGUAGGGAAUCUUCGGCAAUGGACGGAAGUCUGACCGAGCAACGCCGCGUGAGUGAAGAAGGGUUUCGGAUCGUAAAGCUCGGUUGUAAGAGAAGAACGAGUGUGAGAGUGGAAAGUUCACACUGUGACGGUAUCUUACCAGAAAGGGACGGCUAACUACGUG
rnacentral:rRNA from 1 species